rnacentral:rRNA from 1 species
UACGUAGGGGGCUAGCGUUGUCCGGAAUCAUUGGGCGUAAAGCGCGUGUAGGCGGUUCGGUAAGUCCGCUGUGAAAGUCGGGGGCUCAACCCUCGGAUGCCGGUGGAUACUGUCGGACUAGAGUACGGAAGAGGCGAGUGGAAUUCCUGGUGUAGCGGUGAAAUGCGCAGAUAUCAGGAGGAACACCGAUUGCGAAGGCAGCCCCCUGGCCGACGACUGACGCGCAGGCACAA